CUACGGGUCGCUGCAGUAAGGAAUAUUGCACAAUGGGGGAAACCCUGAUGCAGCAACGCCGCGUGGACGAAGAAGGCCUUCGGGUCGUAAAGUCCUUUUCUGAGGGAAGAGGAAGGACGGUACCUCAGGAAUAAGUCUCGGCUAACUACGUGCCAGCAGCCGCGGUAAAACGUAGGAGGCGAGCGUUAUCCGGAUUCACUGGGCGUAAAGGGCAAGUAGGCGGUUGUUUAAGUUAGGUGUGACAUCUCUCGGCUUAACUGGGAGGGAGCGCUUAAAACUAGGCAACUAGAGGGCGGAAGAAGGGGGUAGAACUCCAAAUGUAGCGGUGGAAUGCUCAGAUAUUUGGAAGAAUACCAGUGGCGAAGGCGACCCCCCGGUCCGUGCCUGACGCUGAGAGGCGAAAGCUAGGGUAGCGAACGGGAUUAGAUACCCGAGUAGUC
rnacentral:rRNA from 1 species